rnacentral:rRNA from 1 species
UACGUAGGGGGCAAGCGUUGUCCGGAUUUAUUGGGCGUAAAGAGCGCGUAGGCGGCCCGGUAAGUCUGCUGUAAAAGUCAAAGGCUUAACCUUUGAAAGUCAGUGGAUACUGCCGGGCUAGAGUCCGGAAGAGGCGAGUGGAACUCCUGGUGUAGCGGUGGAAUGCGCAGAUAUCAGGAAGAACACCAACGGCGAAGGCAGCUCGCUGGGACGGAACUGACGCUGAGGAGCGAAAGCGUGGGGAGCGAACAGG